ACAUGAUGACACAACUAGAUUAAAGUGAAACUCUUUUUGGCGAGAGUUUCACUUUAACUAGAUUGACAAGCUACAGAUCAGAAUAUGAUCUCUGUUCUACCCACACUGUGCAUGGUGUAUGUAUCAGGUCCCCUUAAAGUACCCAUCAUGCACAGUGCGCACAGGAGCCCCUCAUGGAACAGGUGACUCCAAACCUGCACGGCUCCUGGUUUCCUGUGUCAAUGUGUUUUUAGUGUACACGUGUAUCCAACCAGGAAGCACAGUGCAAACUGGAGUAAUACAGAUGUGAACCUGCUUCACAGGGCAGGUCUCAGUAUAUGAGAGUGAGACGGUGCUUCAGCUGGUCAAGAACAAAUCUGUGGACAAACACAAAAUACUGAUGUGUCUGUAAAACUGUUCUCUGUGAUGAUCAUUUAGAACAAGGUGAAUACCAGAGACACCUCCAGCCUCUGAUGAGGACAGUGAGAUCUGGAUGAAGGCCUUGAGAAAACUAGAUCCUUGUGUCAGACUCCUGAUGUAAUGCUUCGAGGCCUCAUCCAAGACGGGGAGAAAUAGAUAUCCGACCGGUCCAAUCACUACAACCCGAAGCAUUCUCAAAAUUGCGAAGUUGGCUUGAAGAAAGUGCUCCCAGCCCUCUGCAGCGGCGCAGGAUGCAGGUUGGGUUGAGGUUGAGGCCCCGCGAUGAUCCCAAGAAGAGGGUCAAGUGUUGAAGCCUUCUCCUACUCAGCCAGUGAACCGUCUCUCACCGCAGUGAUUUGUCCUGGCUACAGCGUAAAGGUCCCAUAAAUAAAAAUUUUAACUACCUCACAAUUGAAAUGACCAUCACAUAUCUUUAAUGGAAAUUUCUGACUGUCAGUACUCUCUUUCUAGCCUUUCUAGCCAUAUAGGAAAAAAAAGUUCCUCCAACUAUCCUGUUUAAUGUCACUAACUAGCAUAUGUUUCUUGUUUAAGAAUAAAAAAUCUUUGGGUUAUAGUUCUAGCCCAUCAUAAGAGGUUGUAAAAACAAGUUUUGCAUUAAUAAUAUGCAUAUUCUACAUCAAAUUGUUAUGUGAAAAUAAAGUAAAACAAAAGCAGAGAAACUGGACAUGCAACUGCCACAUGUGUGAUGUAAAAUGAUAGAUAAUGAUUCAAAUUAGGACAACAAACAUUUGUCCAAAACCAAAACAAAUAAGCAAUGUGUUGCAGCAAAUGCAUCACUAUUAACAGUAAAAAAACAGACAUGUACGUGAAUAUGUACACAGCACUAAAAGGAUUUCUGUAAAAUUUGGUGACAUUUUUACAUUUACUAUAUCAA